AUACUUACCUGGACAGGGUCAGUGGGCGAUCAAUAAAUCCCAUGGCCUAAGUUAGCGACAUCCAUUGCAUUUAGGAGGGCCGCUCGUCUAACGUCUCCUCAAUGUGGGAGAGCCUACGUCAUAAUUUGUGGCUGUGGAGGCUUGCGUCCGCGCGGCCCCUUU